AUACGAGGGGUGCAAGCGUUAUUCGGAAUCAUUGGGCGUAAAGGGUGCGUAGACGGCAUGCUAAGUUACUUGUUAAAUCCUUCGGCUCAACCGAAGCACAGCGAGUAAAACUGGCAAGCUAGAGGGUGGAAGAGAGAAGUGGAAUUCUCGGAGUAGCGGUAAAAUGCGUAGAUCUCGAGAGGAACACCGAUGGCGAAGGCAGCUUCUUGGUCCACACCUGACGUUGAGGCACGAAAGCGUGGGGAGCAAACAGGAUUAGAUACCCCAGUAGUCC
rnacentral:rRNA from 1 species